GCCGCGAUCGCAUAAUUUGGUAUUGCACCGGCCUUGAAAGCCGGGCCCUUUGGGCAUCCAGGUUCAAAUCCUGGUUGCGGCG
rnacentral:tRNA from 1 species